GGGAGAGGGGGAGGGGCUGCUGAGGAAGGCCACAGGGGCUAAGGAGGAUUUCCUCAGAGCUUUUGGGAAGCUAUACGUUCCUGGCCCCGAGGUAAAGCUCCCACAGGCUGCUUGACCCAACAGAGCAGCUCCUACCCACUGGGAUUCUCGGUCUGCAGGAAUCUGGCAUCCACCUGGGGAGCAUCUGGCUGAGGCAGCCUGGAGACAGGCACGCACCAGAAGACUUCUGGUUCCAUCCAGGCCCAAGGACCACUGAACUGGAGCGGUCUUCUCCAUCCCCCAGCAAGCCUGUGCGUGAGCUGGGGACAAGGGGCAGAGGAGGCAGAGGUCCCCCUCACACCAGGAAGGGAACAGCGCCACUAAAGGGCCUGGUGGAGGCAGGGUGGAGGUGGAAGGAGACUCAGCAGAAGGGAUGAGGAAACUGAGGCUGAGAGGGUAGAGAACUUUGCCUGAGGUCACUCAGCAGGGACCCACCCAUCACAGUAAAUGCCAGCACUGCUGAUGCCAAAACAAUGUUAUUUGUAGGCCCUCGGAAUUUGUGACCUGAAGGAAGAAGAGCAGGGCCGUGGGAAGUAUGUAACCAGUGUCAUGCCCCUGGUCCCAAGGAAGCAGUGGCUUGGCCUGAACACCCUGUCCUACCUGGUCCUACCUGGAUGCUGGCCUCAGUAAGCUCCUGGGCUCAUUGAAGAUGAACCUAGCAGUAGUAUUUACACCACUUGUUGUGUGCCCACUGUGGGCCCGGCGCCAUGCCGAGUGCUCUAUGGAUGUGAGAUGAGAACACUGAAGCAGUUUUUUCUAAAGAUAGCUGCCUGGCACAGUGGCUCACAUCUGUAGUCCCAGCAUUUGGGGAGGCCAAGGCAGGUGGAUCACUUGAGGCCAGGAAUUCAAGACCAGCAUGGCCAACAUGUGCUGGGAGAGAAAAGCAUACGACAUAGACAGGGAGGUCAAGCUCCACCACGCAGAUGAGGUGCAGGCCACCAGUCUUCCUCUGCCACAUCUCUUUCUGAAAAGGACUUCACAUUCACCCUUGCAAUCCAUGUGGGGACACUGUUGGAUAGGAGGCGUGGUCCCAGCGUGGUCUCCCUGUCUGGGCCUCUGCCUAUGCCAAAUGUUUGCCUUACGCUGCACACUCAAGAGGUUCCAUGUAUACAGAUGGGAAUUCCAGAGCUACAGAAAAGGCAGCAAGCACCAUGAUUUAAGCUAACCAGUGUGGAUUCACACCUUCCUCUCUCUCUAUCAGUGGCAGAACUACCAGCUAGAGUAAGAAGUGGUUGAUCCAGGACCUAAACAUUCUGGAAACUCUUGCCCACUUCUGGGAGAAAUGACCCAAUCCAUAGUACUAAGCACACCUUAACUUUCGUAGGACGCAGGCAAGUUGUCAUACCGUGUGCCUAAAUAUAGAAAAAUGAUCCACUGGACUAAUAAAGUGUUAAAUAAAA
rnacentral:lncRNA from 1 species